CUAGCUGAGGGUAAUCCAUCUUCUGGCUUGAACAAUUCUGGCCCAUCUUUGUCAGACCACAUAUCAAACCCUCCAGGCUUUUGAAACCGAUCAGCCAAGACGCUCAAUUGCUCAUCAGCACUCACAGAGAACAAUGUAGGUGCCUUUUGAACCACUUCCCAAGGCCUCUCGAGCUCAGAGACAGCAGCUUUGAGCUCGGCCCGCUUCCUCAUCUCGUAGAUUUGGAGUAGGUGCCUUUUCUACCACUUCCCAAGGUCUCUCAAGCUCAGAGACAGCAGCUUUGAGCUCAGCCCGCUUCCUCAUCUCAUAGAUUUGGCGUUCCCGAGCCAAUCGAGCCUUAAGAAGCUGUUUUGCUUUCUUUGCUUGCAUU
rnacentral:lncRNA from 1 species